AACCCCGCCGUGCCUGCGGCGAACACCGCCGUAGUCGUCCGCGGGCCCAUACUCUAACUUGCUGAUCGACUCGCCGUGCCUGUGCUGAAUGAACCCCCUCCCUCGCUGUGGUAGAUUAACAUCGACUCCGAGGUCGAAUGCUCGACACUGUCAUGUUUCGUGCCUCUAGUGAAGUACAAGGCGAGAGGUUGAACACUGAGCAGAUGGUAGUCAUCCACGAACGCCGUGGUAGGGUGAAGUUUUGCUUCAGCUUGUGGCGAAACAGAUCAGAAGUUUCUGGCACCACUUCAGGUCCUUUCUUGGAGACGAGCAUAAGAUGGUCAUAACAAUAACGUUCUUUGCUUCAGGAUUCUGUGUGUUGAUUUCACCCACCGCCUAUUUAUUAAUAAGUCAUUUUAAUAAUAUUGUUGAAAACAACUCCAACUUUAAGAAAGAGGUAAGUUUAGUUUUAUAGAAGAGAGAGAUUCUCUCUGUCAGGUGAAUAUCUACAAAUAUACAAACACAUUAAAUCUGCGUCUGUAGAUGACAGUCAGCAAUGCAGCCCCAUUUAAAAACAUUAAGAAAAAAUUAAAGUGUGAAUCAGCAACUGCUGCUGUGUGAACUUUUAAUGUGACUCUUUCCUUACUUGUGUAAAAUAUCUGAAUGAUCAGUCAUUACUGCUUUUCUUGAAACCUCAACACAGAAAAAGAAUAAAAGCCACAUGAUGUGAAAUCCAUCACUUUCUUGCUCUACGUCUCUUUUUUGUGUCUUUCUUUAGUACAGGGUUCAUGAUUGCUUUAUUUUCUGUUAAUGUGAGAACAGGGUGUGUAUUACUGGAAAAGGUGAUGAAAAGUGCUUAACCAAUGAAAAACUGACACGCAAACACACUUAUUUGUAAAAUGGUUUCUGGAUGCAUCAGUUUCCAUGAAGCGCCUGAACAGGAACUUACAUUCACCUGUUUGAAAGUGGAAUAAGGUCCAAGAAAAGGGCACUUUUUAAAAAUAGAAGGUUCAUGUUCCUGUCUGAUGCCAAAAUAAGCAGACAAAAAAUACAUAUAUCGAUCACCUGGAUCACCUGUUGAGAAAGAAAAAAGAAAACAAGCAGAAGAAAACGAGAGUAAUAGAAUAAACAACAUCACGAUGAUAUAUGGGAAUAUAACAGUAAAUACUAAAUAUUAAACAUUACUGUGCAGCACGUAAGAUCGACAGCGCACAGUGUGCUUUGAGGUAGGAGCCAAAAAGGGUGUAGUUUGUGUGUGUGAGCACCCGUGUGUACACCUGUGAGCAUGGACCUGCUUGUUUUUUUUGUUUUUUUUAAAAGGUUCCUUCAUGUAAUGAUCUGCUAGAGGGUGUGGGGGGCCACUGCCCCGUCCUCCAGACAUCCAGAGGCCCCCAGAACACAAGAGACCAAGGAAGACCAGCAGAGGGGCAGCCGCGCCACUAUCCCAGAA
rnacentral:lncRNA from 1 species